AUGGUCACGCUGAACUGAACUCAAGUGGUGCUCAGAUUCCCGAGCGGUCAUCGGAGAGACGGAGACUGCGCGAGGACGAGGAGAGGAGCUCCCAUGGCGGAGGCGGCACGGAAGCCCCGCCCUGUCCGCUGCAUCGUUAAGCUAGGCGGAGCGGCCAUCACGAACAAGGGGGAGCUGGAGAGCAUCGACGAGGAGAGCCUGCGGUCGGCGUGCGCGCAGCUGCGGCAGGCCAUGUCCGACGGCGCCGCCCCGGAGAAGGCUAGGGGGAUGGACUGGAGCAGGAGGCCCGGCGAUCCGGCCGACCCGGUCGUGGACGCGGAGGGGUUCGCGGGUAUGGCGGGGCUGGGUCUCGACAGCAACUUCGUCGUCGUCCACGGCGCAGGUUCUUUUGGCCACUUCCAAGCAAGUAGAUCUGGAGUACAUAAAGGAGGGUUGCAUUCAACGCUGGUGAAGGCUGGCUUUGUGGCUACAAGAAUUUCAGUGACUUCUCUCAACCAGGAAAUUGUUAGAGCCUUGGCAAGAGAAGGAAUACCGUCUGUUGGGAUGUCACCAUUUGCUUGUGGAUGGUCUACUCAGCGAAGAAAUCUUGCAUCAGCCAAUGCUUCUCAAAUCAUUGAGUCGCUCCAUGCUGGCUUUGUCCCUGUUUUGCACGGAGAUGCUGUUCUUGAUGAAUCGCUGGACUGCACCAUAUUGAGUGGGGAUGUCAUUAUACGCCACCUUGCACAGCUUUUGACUCCAAAAUAUGUCGUGUUUCUGACAGAUGUUCAUGGAGUAUAUGACCGUCCUCCAACUGACCCCAAUGCAGUACUUCUCAAAGAGAUAGAGGUAGAUGACAACGGAGGCUGGUCGAUUGUAAAACCUGCAUUACAAGGCAACAGAAAAGGAGUGGAGAUAUCAGUAGCCGCACACGACACUACUGGAGGAAUGGAGACCAAAAUACUGGAAGCUGCCGUGAUAGCUAGGCUUGGAGUUGAUGUGUACAUUACAAAGGUUGAUACUGAGCACUCCCUGAGAGCCUUGAAGGGGGAUGUGAACACAAGCUCGGACGAUUGGCUUGGAACUGUUAUACGCGCUGCCAAAUAGAGUUCUAGCUACAGAACAGAAGCAACACAAUUUUUAUGUCGCGUAGGGUUCGCUGUUGAGCAUUGAUGUUCGCCAGAUGAAAAAUUAGAGGUUUAUUCCUACUGCGAUCACUUUCUUGCCGAAUGUCACGCUAGUAUUGUGACCAGUGGUAAUACCUCCAUUUAUCGGAGAACACAGAACCUUCCUUUGUGAUUUACGAUACCAUUUUUUAAUGAGAAUGCACUUGUUUGUCAGCUGGAGUGUGUGGUGGAUUUUCUGUAACUAGUACCAUAAAUCAAUAUAGGUUUAUAAAUAAGUAUUUGCCGAGCUGAAAUAGUGGUUAAGAGUUGAGAAAAAUCAUUUGCAAAUCGAGUAACCUAUUUUUGAUAGUUUGAUAAUGGGAAACGAACUGAAGGCAAGGUAACUAUAGGGUCGCGGCAGAAAUUUAACCGCGAAUUCCACGAAAAAAUCGCAGCAAACGCUGGGGCCAAAGAAAAGAAGGAACGACUGGUCCAGGGCGAGGCCAGUUGGGGGCUGGGGCUGGGCGCCGUCUAUCCACCCACAUCCACCACCACCGUAGAGCAUAGCAGCAGCAGAGACAGAGCGCAACACCAGCGCGAACCCGUUCCGUACCCUGGCGCUGCGGAGCGCCCACGCGUUCCCUUCGCCCGCUCACCGGCGCCGCACCGUGCUUCCUCUCCCCCAAGCCCAAGGCCGCCGCCUCAGGUGUGGUGAUUGCACCGCUCCAGCGGUGGUGAUCGACGGCCCGUGCACGUUUCGGACCUACUGCAUUGCAUAUACAAUGCAAGGCAUAUCUGUGUGCGGCUCGGGCGUCUCGCCCCAGGGAACAAACUGCAGAUCAGCUUGUGUUGCUAGGAAUGGUCUGAGGUUCUGUUACAAAAUAAAUCCAGUAAGCCGUGGGGCAUACGCGUGGCGCUGGUGUGCGGAAAAGCUGCACAUGGGGACCAACCGUGGAAAAAUAAACACCACAGUAAGGACUAACGCCAGAUGGUUCUUUGGAGGAGAUGCUCGUAACAGUAACAGUAACGAUAAUGCGGCCGCGAGGCUGGAGCGCAGUGAGUCUGCUAACGAAGACAUCUUGAUCUUCUACUUUCAGCUGGAUGUACAGACUCGGAUACAAUAUGCAUUGAAUAUAGAACAAUUUGAUGCAGCAAAGCAAUUGAGGGAAAAGCUCGCUGAGAUCGAAACAGAGGUAACUAGGCAGCGUGAAGCUAAAAGAGGUUCAUCGAAGAAUGAAGCUCAGGAUAAAUCUUUAAAUCUACUACGUGCGCGUGCAGAUUUGCAGAAUGCUAUUGAGAGCGAGAACUAUGCUUUGGCAGCUGAGCUGCGUGACACAAUCUCUAAGCUUGAGGGUGAUUCUCUGGCACUUUCUGCUAAAGCCCUGGCUUACCAAAGUGUGAAAUAUGAGUUUCGACUAGGGCAGAAAGUACGCCACAAAGUACAUGGAUAUAGAGCUGUGAUAUGUGGCAUGGAUCCUGUGUGCUGUGAAUCCAAGUCAUGGAUGGAGACGGCAAAUGUGGAGAAGUUAUCUAAAGGACCAAAUCAACCUUUUUAUCAAGUGCUGGUUGAUGUAUAUGCUGAUCCAGAACUUCUUGUUGCAUAUGUCGCAGAAGAAAAUCUUUCAGAAGCUGAAGAAUCAGAGAAAGGAAGGUUUGAGCACCCCUACACUGAAUUCCUAUUUUAUGGCGAGGACACAACUCGGGACUUCAUUCCUGUGAAGCAACUCCGUGAGAAGUAUGACCAGCCACGCUAUGAAGCUUCUGGAGAUGAAAAUGACGACGAUGGCACUACAAAUAGCUAAACGGUAGCAGGAGUUUUUCUAAGAACAUUCCUUAUUCACCACCACUAAUGAGGAUCAGAGAAGAUAGAGGAUCAAGGUACUAUCUGGCAUAGCUACAGUAGCACUGAGUGGGCAGGUGUAAUGAAGACCGAGUCAUCGCGGAUAUUGCAAGAAAUCACAAAAACCUGCAAUGAGAGGAGCUACAUGCAGUGUCCGACCUUGCAGAUUGGGGAAGCAUUGCGCUGAUAAAAUGUGCAACUUCCUCCUGCGCUUUUGAGUGCGAGUGGUUCUAAAGUCAAUGAAUGUGAAGAAGAUCCUGAUGGAUAUUCAGUGUAUAUUUGGCCGAGUUCUACUGCAGCUCUGUCCCCUCUGAUGGGCAUAUGUACAUAGCAUGAUUACUACUACUCCAUACGUACUUGCAAUUUUGCUGGAGUAUAUGAAAU
rnacentral:rRNA from 1 species